UGAAAAUGGCGAGUGCCCCAGAAGAACCUGCACCAUCAACCAGAGGUGACCACUGAAGAGCUGCAGCUGCAGUUAUAAUAACAUGACUCUUUUGAUUAGAACUCAUUAAUCCACUUUCUGUUUUCUGUCCUCGUUUCAUGCAUGCACAGAGCAGUUGGCAUGUGUGGCUGUAACCCGGGAUUCCCACUGCAUCCGGAACGGCUCCGAUCCAGAACGGCGAAGAUUUUCGCUGUACGCCAAUUCCUACCAGCUCCGUUUGUGAGGCAAAUUUCGUGGCAGAUUACAGACAGCAGGAAUCACGAAAACUGACAAGAACCUGCAGAUUCACAUGCAAUCGCUCGAUAAAAAGUUGUCUUUAGCCACAUAGGCUAACAUAUAAGCAGUAGAUUGUGUCCUUCCAGGGGAGGAAAUCUGCUUGUAGACUUAAAAAAUCAGCAUCCUCUCAUCCAUGGCGUCAUCAGGGUAAAAUUCUGUCUAAAAACCUUUCACUUGUUCGUUUGUUUGUUGUUCACUUGUUUAUUUUGAAAAGAAGCCGGAUGUUUUAUUUUGCAUCUGUGCUCGACUUCCUUUCCAGCACAGACUAAUCCGUGCUGAAUUUAUCUGGCAGACUCUGGCGUCUGGAAAAUAGAACUCUUGCGAUCAGCUGCAGAAUCCAGCGAUCCGCAGCGGAACGGAGAGAAGCCGGUGGAAAUUGACACAUUAACUUGGAUGGUUACAAUCAGCUACAAUCGGCAGAUAGUGCCUUUUCAUAGCCGUUCCAGAUGCAGUGGAAAUUGGGGGUAACCUUUGACAUCUCGACUCUGCAACACUGAAGUAUAAUAGCAACAAUGAAGGAGGAUGCUAAAUUGCACAGCAAGUGAAAGUGGUUCUGCAUACAUGCCUGUGCAGAUCACUCCAGGUCACAUUGCCUUUUCAGUGGGAUGCAGAUUCAUUGCAGAGGCUUUCUUACUUCCACAUCCUCAGGGUUGUUAUAGGACCCCAAAAUUAGUUCAAAUCAGGUUCUUUUGUACUUUGAUAGAAAAUAACAUGCAGUUUCACGUACUCCUGUUUGUAUACCUGCACAGGGCACAAAAGGCAACAACAUCUCACUGUUUCCUAUUCCUUAUCUGGCUCAAGUAUGGGUGUGUAAUUGUGCCUCAGUGCAGCUCACACAGAGCAUUAUGUGAGCAGAAUAAACUGCCCAGCCCCCAGACAGCCGUUAGCUGACACGCACAAUGCUAACAGAGUGAAGGUAAACACGGGCACCUGCUCAUAGAGAUUAAUGUGGGCACCGGGGCCAGUAAAAACAUCAUUAUCAUUCAGUCUUAUUUAGUCGGCUCUGCAGUACAAGGUCGGCCCAGAUGUUCUGUGGACGGAGAGCAGCAUAUCAAUAGUGUAGCAGUCUCAUUAUUAGGCAGGAGGGUGUUGUAUACACACAGAUAUAUACGGAAACACAGCCUCUGUCGGUGAGCUGACUCGUAAUGAAGCGUUGUUGAUCUGUUUAUGUUUCCUGGAAAACAUUUAAAUAAGUCCUGUUUUAAUAAAUCACUGCAAUCUAAUGAUCAAACUUUACUUUGUUCCUCCUGUUUCAGAGGAAACAGCUGCUGGGGUCAUUGCCAGGGAUUGUUUUUGUCACAACACAAAGAGAGUAAUGAAUUAGCUCGUCUGUUAAUGAGAACCUGAUGUAAAAAGAGGAUCUACCGGGACAAUUUGAUUACCCAGAAUGCACUCUGAGUCAUGCUGCUUUGACAAGACAGGUAGCAAACACAAGGAAAAUGAAAAUUGAUCAUUUCUGUAUCAUUACGACUUUUGUCUGUGUUUUAAAUCACUCUCCACACGGGGUGUGAUAGCAGCACGAGUGCAACAGAUAUCAGCUUUCAAAUGUGAUUUUAUAUCAGUUUUAAGCAAGAGCUGUGAAUAUAAUGGGUAUAAGAAGUCAAAGAUAAUGAAUAAAAAAGGUACUUUUGUUCGAGUAGCUUGCUUAUCUCAAUAUAUUUGGAAAAUUUGAUGGCUUUGUAAAGUGAUCUUUGGGGUUUGUCCCUUUGAGAUUGGAAAAACCUGUAAAUGUGUUUCCAACUUCAGAAGAGUAUAACUUGUGAUUUCACUCAGAAUUUUUCUCCCACUGAAGUUUGUUCUCUCUUUGAUUUUUGCAUUAACUCAGCGAACUGAUGCCAUGGAAAAUGUAGAGAGUUGUAGUACUCCCUCCUUAGUAUACACCAUAGACUGUAUAUACUAUGGACAAUUUGGUUUUGCCUUCCGCCAGUAUACAGGUUCGAAAAGCUCCCAGUAAUUCUGUGAUUUUUCUCCAUUUCCUGAAACCGCAGUGGCGUUGUACGCACUUCACCACUUGCACAGUAACAUUGUACAUAUUCGGCGGGAGGGUCGCGGGGAGCUAUAUUCAACAUUUAGGGAAUCCAUAGGGAUUGCUGGAGGAGGCGGGAUUUAUGACCUACAGUGCAGCCUGUCACCAGAGGGUGCUGUUCCCGGAGUGGCUUCACCCAGCGAGGAGGCAGAUAGCAUCCACUCUAUAUACAGUCUAUGGCUAUAAUCCACCAGUUACACCUUUUGAGCGAAUGUUCAAAGCUAUCUGUCAGUGUCAAUUGUAACUCUAUUUUAGUUUUGGUUACAUAGGCUGCUGUUGUAGUCAUGUAGUGCUUAUGGGUGUUACUUUUUACACAGCUUUGUAGUCAUAAAACAACCCAAAGUAGAUGGCGUCCGUUUUAUAUACAGUCUAUGGUAUACACUCUUACAACAGGCUGGCAGCAAAAAAUUCAAAUUGAAAUGGAUUUGUGAAAGUCCUGACCUGACAAGGACUGGUUCACAUGAUAAUGACCACAGAGGACCUCAUUCACAACUAUCCCAGCUAACUUUUCACCAAACACCUCUGAGGAGUUCUGAUAAACCAGCUGCUCCAUCUGCAUCCAUACCAAUAUUUUUAAGUUCUCCACCGCUGACCAUCCUGUAAGCUACCACCUCUUUCAGUCACUUUCUAACCAGAACACUGUGUCAGUUUGAAGCUUUGCAAGAUGGAUUCCCCUCAUGACAGACUGGUGCAUGGACUUUUAAUUUAUUAGGAAACCAAACAUUUAGACUGUGUGCUCUAAAAAAGAAGGUGUCACUCAGUUAAAGAUGUGUCUGCAGAACAGAGAGGUAACCACACCUGUAUGAGACAGACAGCUCUCCUCUUUUCUUCCACAGCCUUUCCAUCAUCGUCUCUCCUGACUUGUGAUUUGUCUGGCUGGGAUCUUGUGUGGCAACCUCAUCCAUCUUUAUCCCUGCUUCGAGAAGCUCACGGUGACGGGCGCCGGAUGACAAGUGUUGGAGAGUCGAGCCGCCAGCGUUUAUCUAUCAGUGCAUCUCGUCAGCUUCACCCUCUGAGAGCUCUGAAGGGCGACUUCCUCGAACUGAAACUGAAACUAAAGAGACAAACUGCGGGAUGAGGCCUGCAGGCUGUUCUCCUCCCCAGACAUGAUUUUUACCAUUUCCAGCUUCAUAUUCAGGGCUGAUGUUGCAGAAACAGAGGAACAUGAUGUUUAGUUUGACUCUGUAGGCAAAUUCGAAAACUAAAUCUUAGUUUUUAAGAAGAAAAAAUAAAGAAUGAGGUGUGAGAGGUCUCAGAAGUUUGGUUUGAGAGUAGGGUCAACUAUCCAGAGAUGCGGGCAGGUGAUUUAUGAAAGAGACAUCCAUGUUAACCUCAUAAUGAAGAUUUUAUGACGGC
rnacentral:lncRNA from 1 species